rnacentral:pre_miRNA from 1 species
GUAAUUACUAUGUUAAUUUACAAGAUUAUAGUAACUCCAUACUGAGUGGUUUACUAUAACAUUAUGGUAAAUGUCUCCAUGUGUUAUAGUAACCCAACUAUUGUAAAUAUGUAUUGAUAUUAUCGUAAAUUAGUAUAUAAAAUUAU